UACAGAGGGUGCUAGCGUUAAUCGGAAUUACUGGGCGUAAAGCGUGUGUAGGUGGUUAGAUAAGUUAGAUGUGAAAUCCCUCGGCUUAACCGGGGAACUGCGUCCGAUACUGGUUGGCUUGAGUUUGGGAGAGGGAUGCGGAAUUCCAGGUGUAGCGGUGAAAUGCGUAGAUAUCUGGAGGAACACCGGUGGCGAAGGCGGCAUCCUGGACCAAUACUGACGCUGAGGAGCGAAAGCCAGGGGAGCAAACGGG
rnacentral:rRNA from 1 species